GCACGGCGCCGACCUCCCCCUUCCCCUCCCCUCUAUCCUCCACUGCUGCCGCCCACCUCUCCGUAUCAGCUGCGUCGCGUUGGUUUCCGCCGGCGCUGCUGCUGCUGCACCAGUCCGCUAGGGCGGGCGGGCAUGGCGCGCCGCGCCGCUUCCCGCGUCCGCGCCGGCGCUGUUGGCGCCCUUCGCUCGGAGGGCUCGACCCAAGGGCGAGGGGGCCGCACGGGGGGCAGUGGCGCCGAGGACGCACGCCACGUGUUCGACGAAUUGCUCCGGCGUGGCAGGGGCGCCUCGAUCUACGGCUUGAACUGCGCCCUCGCCGACGUCGCGCGUCACAGCCCCGCGGCCGCCGUGUCCCGCUACAACCGCAUGGCCCGAGCCGGCGCCGACGAGGUAACUCCCAACUUGUGCACCUACGGCAUUCUCAUCGGUUCCUGCUGCUGCGCGGGCCGCUUGGACCUCGGUUUCGCGGCCUUGGGCAAUGUCAUUAAGAAGGGAUUUAGAGUGGACGCCAUCGCCUUCACUCCUCUGCUCAAGGGCCUCUGUGCUGACAAGAGGACGAGCGACGCAAUGGACAUAGUGCUCCGCAGAAUGACCCAGCUUGGCUGCAUACCAAAUGUCUUCUCCUACAAUAUUCUUCUCAAGGGGCUGUGUGAUGAGAACAGAAGCCAAGAAGCUCUCGAGCUGCUCCAAAUGAUGCCUGAUGAUGGAGGUGACUGCCCACCUGAUGUGGUGUCGUAUACCACUGUCAUCAAUGGCUUCUUCAAGGAGGGGGAUCUGGACAAAGCUUACGGUACAUACCAUGAAAUGCUGGACCGGGGGAUUUUACCAAAUGUUGUUACCUACAGCUCUAUUAUUGCUGCGUUAUGCAAGGCUCAAGCUAUGGACAAAGCCAUGGAGGUACUUACCAGCAUGGUUAAGAAUGGUGUCAUGCCUAAUUGCAGGACGUAUAAUAGUAUCGUGCAUGGGUAUUGCUCUUCAGGGCAGCCGAAAGAGGCUAUUGGAUUUCUCAAAAAGAUGCACAGUGAUGGUGUCGAACCAGAUGUUGUUACUUAUAACUCGCUCAUGGAUUAUCUUUGCAAGAACGGAAGAUGCACGGAAGCUAGAAAGAUGUUCGAUUCUAUGACCAAGAGGGGCCUAAAGCCUGAAAUUACUACCUAUGGUACCCUGCUUCAGGGGUAUGCUACCAAAGGAGCCCUUGUUGAGAUGCAUGGUCUCUUGGAUUUGAUGGUACGAAACGGUAUCCACCCUAAUCAUUAUGUUUUCAGCAUUCUAAUAUGUGCAUACGCUAAACAAGGGAAAGUAGAUCAGGCAAUGCUUGUGUUCAGCAAAAUGAGGCAGCAAGGAUUGAAUCCGGAUACAGUGACCUAUGGAACAGUUAUAGGCAUACUUUGCAAGUCAGGCAGAGUAGAAGAUGCUAUGCGUUAUUUUGAGCAGAUGAUCGAUGAAAGACUAAGCCCUGGCAACAUUGUUUAUAACUCCCUAAUUCAUAGUCUCUGUAUCUUUGACAAAUGGGACAAGGCUAAAGAGUUAAUUCUUGAAAUGUUGGAUCGAGGCAUCUGUCUGGACACUAUUUUCUUUAAUUCAAUAAUUGACAGUCAUUGCAAAGAAGGGAGGGUUAUAGAAUCUGAAAAACUCUUUGACCUGAUGGUACGUAUUGGUGUGAAGCCCGAUAUCAUUACGUACAGUACUCUCAUCGAUGGAUAUUGCUUGGCAGGUAAGAUGGAUGAAGCAACGAAGUUACUUGCCAGCAUGGUCUCAGUUGGAAUGAAACCUGAUUGUGUUACAUAUAAUACUUUGAUUAAUGGCUACUGUAAAAUUAGCAGGAUGGAAGAUGCGUUAGUUCUUUUUAGGGAGAUGGAGAGCAGUGGUGUUAGUCCUGAUAUUAUUACGUAUAAUAUAAUUCUGCAAGGUUUAUUUCAAACCAGAAGAACUGCUGCUGCAAAAGAACUCUAUGUCGGGAUUACCGAAAGUGGAACGCAGCUUGAACUUAGCACAUACAACAUAAUCCUUCAUGGGCUUUGCAAAAACAAUCUCACUGACGAGGCACUUCGAAUGUUUCAGAACCUAUGUUUGACGGAUUUACAGCUGGAGACUAGGACUUUUAACAUUAUGAUUGGUGCAUUGCUUAAAGUUGGCAGAAAUGAUGAAGCCAAGGAUUUGUUUGCAGCUCUCUCGGCUAACGGUUUAGUGCCAGAUGUUAGGACCUACAGUUUAAUGGCAGAAAAUCUUAUAGAGCAGGGGUUGCUAGAAGAAUUGGAUGAUCUAUUUCUUUCAAUGGAGGAGAAUGGCUGUACUGCCAACUCCCGCAUGCUAAAUUCCAUUGUUAGGAAACUGUUACAGAGGGGUGAUAUAACCAGGGCUGGCACUUACCUGUUCAUGAUUGAUGAGAAGCACUUCUCCCUCGAAGCAUCCACUGCUUCCUUGUUUUUAGAUCUUUUGUCUGGGGGAAAAUAUCAAGAAUAUCAUAGGUUUCUCCCUGAAAAAUAUAAGUCCUUUAUAGAAUCUUUGAGCUGCUGAAGCCUUUUGCAGCUUUGAAAUUCUGUGUUGGAGUUCUUUUCUCCUACAGUUGUAUUAGAGGAGGGAUCUUCUCUUUAUGUGUAAAUAGCGAGAUUGGUACAACAAAUUAUUGAUUCAAUUUUGGUUUUGAACAUUGAUGAUCCUCCCUGCACUAUUGGUGCAGCUGCUCUUCUAUUCAUUUUGUGAAGUGAUGUUCAAGAAAAUCAUUUGUUGGAUUCAGAAUCUGGUGUCCAUUUUCUUCUUAAAUUAUUAAAUCCUCCAGUGAAUCUUGUUGAUUCCAAAGCACCAUCGAUAGGUUCCAAACUUCUUGGAAUCAGUAAAGUUCAAAUGCUUAAUGGAUCAAAUAAGGAUUCUGACUGCAUUUCAGAGGAAAUCCUUUCAAAAGUUGAAGAGAUUCUCUUAAGCUGUCAAGUGAUCAAGUCGCUCGACAAAGAUGACAAGAAAACAACAAGGCCAGAACUGUGUCCAAAGUGGCUUGCUUUGUUGACAAUGGAAAAUGCAUGCUUGUCUGCUGUUUCAGUAGAGGAAUUGAAUUGGAGUAGUGGACUGCACUAGAAGCACCUAUGGCCAUUGUCAUACUAGGAAGGUUUUCCCUUAUCAAAUAUUUGAUUGUUACAGAGACUUCUGACACAGUGUCCAGAGUUGGAGGAAAUUUUAAAGAGACAUUAAGGGAGAUGGGAGGUCUUGAUAGUAUUUUUGACGUUAUGGUGGAUUUUCAUUCAACAUUGGAGAAUCUCAUAAAGGAUACAUCCACUUCAGCUUUGGACCGAAAUGAAGGAACAUCUUUGCAAAGUGCUGCUCUCCUCUUGAAAUGUUUGAAAAUAUUGGAAAAUGCCAUAUUUCUAAGCGAUGAUAACAAGACCCAUUUGCUUAAUAUGAGUAGAAAAUUGAACCCGAAACGCUCCUUGCUUUCUUUUGUUGGUGUCAUUAUCAAUACUAUUGAGUUAUUAUCAGCUCUUUCAAUACUUCAGAAUUCUUCUGUUGUUUCCAGCUCUACAUAUCCGAAAUCGUCUAAAGUCUCUCAACAGAGUUACUCUGCAGAUGUCAUGGGGGGAACUUCAUUUAAUGAUGGAAAGAGCAAGAACUCGAAAAAAAAAAACUUUUGUCGAACCAGACACGUCAUUGUUGCUUAUCUUCAAAAUCAGAAGUUUCUCAUAUUACUAUAUCUUCUGGUAGUGAUGCUGGUCUGUCACAGAAGGCAUUCAAUUGUUCUCCAUUUAUAUCAAGCAAUGGGGCAUCAAGUGGUUCAUUAGGCGAGAGGCACAGCAAUGGUAGUGGUUUGAAGUUGAAUAUAAAAAAGGAUCGUGGCAAUGCAAAUCCAAUUAGAGGCUCAACUGGAUGGAUUUCAAUAAGAGCGCACAGUUCUGAUGGGAACUCCAGAGAAAUGGCAAAAAGACUCCGUCUAUCUUAAAAUGUAAUCACCGACAGUGGUGGUGGUGAUGACCCUUUUGCAUUUGACCGCCGCGUCGGCGUCGCCACCACGUAAUCGCCCACGUCGCUGCCCCCGCUGCCACGUCGUCGACCGCGCACGUGGUGAUGGCGGGGGGCGACCGUGGCCGAGGCGUGGAGUGCCAUCCGCAUCAGGGUGUAUCGGCCGCGCUGCUCCGCCCUGGUCCGCAGGCUUUGGCGGCGAGCUGGCGGCGGAGGGAGACUGUGGUGAGAUCGGAUUUCGCCGCUGGUGGUGUCGCUACCAUGGGGGAUUCGCCGCAGGCGCUCUCAGGCCUCAUAGCCAUUAAUGUAGUUUGCUGGAACAUUUACAUUUGGAACGUUGUUGGCAAUUGCUUGACAAAAUGUGGAAUUGUGGAGGGGAGAAAAAUCAUUUGAACCUGCAGUGACAAAAUUGCCAUCUCUAAUUUUAAAACUGAAGGUGUGGAAAUCAAACAUAAUCAUUGCCAGCGCAUCAUUCUUGUUAACCACCAUGAUAUAUUGUUGGUUAUAACAGUUAGCUCCACACCAACCUUGAAGGUGUCAAUAGAAUGUUUAGUAUAAAUUGAGGAGAACAGGCAGUUGUUAAGACUUUCUAAAGAACUUGUAGCAGCUAAUACUAGCUAUUGUGCAUUUGUGUUUCAUGGAAUUUGAGCAGCAAUGGAUAUUUCUUACUAAGAUGUAUGAUGCAAAACAAAAAACUAUGUCUAUACAGUUUACAUGUAAUGUGCGGAUGCAAAUAAAAUCAUGUACAUGGACAAACUCAUGGGAUUCAUACCGAAUUCCAGAAUUGCAUUUCUUAUGUGGUUA